AUGGCGUCGGCGGAACCCUUCAUAGUCCGGCGGCGGCUGGCAGAAGGGAGCCGGUCUCUUAAGAGAGUUGAACAUUUCAGCAAACCUGAGCUGAGAAGGGGGGUGGGGGCCGCUCGAGGAGGGAGCAAAGCGCCCAUCAGGGUGGUGAAGCAUCGUGUGAUGCGCCCUGCCACAUUGGACGCAGCGCUUUUUGCUUGCGCAGAUGCCGUCUGCGUGCUGCGCACUAAGUAUAUAGAGACAGGUCAUAACCCGAAGGCCUAUUUUUACAUUCUAAAUAAUAAAUCCUGUUUCAUAUUUACAUUAUAAUUGAGUUUUCCCCCCUGUACUAUAUCCCAUUAAAGAGUCUUAUAUUCUAUUUUACAUGAGUCAAAGAUCCUCGGUCUUCUUAUCUUUCAAUCAGUCUGCUUUGUUCGCCUCGAAAUCGUCGAUGGACAUGUCUUCGAGGGAGGGGAGGGGGGGUGAAGGUGGGUUGGCAGCGUCUUUGUCUAUGUCUUCUGUAUGUUCGUUUAGUGAUUGUUGCUUCUGCUUCAGAAUUGUUGUAAUGUAAUCUUGAAUGAGUUUCCAAUUAUUUCUAGAUUGUGUCAUGAGAGUAAUUGUGUUUCCUGGAGUAAGGUGUUCUUGUAAUUGGUUCUGUAGUUGGGAUAUUAUGUUCUGUAUUUCUUUACAAAUGUAGAACGAAUGUUCUGGAGUGUCUAUUUCUUAUGUAUUGCAGUUGGGACGAAAUUCAUUAUUUCUUUUCUUAAAUCUAUGGAGAUACUGAGCGUAAGCACCAUGGCCGGAUAGAAACUGAGUCAUGUAAAAGUUUGUUGUGCCAUGUCUCCUGUUUAACCAUGUGUGUAUUUCUGGGAUGAGUCUCCUGAUCCAUGUAUUUCCGUGUUCCUUUUCCCAUCGUGGGUUGUAUUUGCGUUGCACACAACUGCGGAAGUAGAGUGGUGAUGAAAGUCAUUAAUUUGUCUAUCUAUUCAGACUGUCGUAUGACAAAAUUGCGUAGCUCAUCAAUGAUGAAAGUGGAAUUAUUAUUUGGGUCAUGGCUGUCGUAAGCGGGGCAGCACCGGCAUAGGGGAGCUUUGAACUUGACGUAGCCUUAUCGCGAUUAACGAUUUCAGCGUAGGUCUUUUUAUCAGAGUUGUUGCAUUGAUUGUCUUGAUUACGCCCCGCGUUUUUCAGCUGCGGGAGACGUUUUCUGCUCACUUCUUUGUAAACUUUGCAGCCCCUGUAGGUUUUCACGUGAGUUUCCUCACAAAGAACUCAAACUGGCAGGAUACAGGUGGGUAAGUCAGGUGUCUGACACUCACCUGUUCGAUGUAAUUCAGCGCAGAUAACGCAUCUAGCAGGCAAAAAGCAAAAGUACCUAAAACCUAAUGAAAAUCACGUUGCCUGGAAGUUCAAGAAACAGACUGUUGUUGCUCAGAAGCUGAGUACCUAUUUUGCAAUGUCAAUUUGUCUAACAGAAGCUCUUUUAGUAAAGCAAUUAUUAGAGUAGGUUUUUAUUAUUAGAAAGAAUUUGAUGAUCUUCAUUUUUUAAGGUAAUACUAGUGCUAUAACUAUAACCAGUGCGUUAGAAAUUAAACGUUCCAAACAUAUCAAAGUAAAACAUAACUUCUGAAGGACUUUGUCGCAAAUAAGGUCAAUAAAAUCUAAUAGGUAUGUUUAUGCGUCUGAACAAGUUACAGACGUGAUGACCAAAGCGUUGCACACCUCAAAAUUUACCAAAUUUCGCCUUUGCUUUGGUUUACAAGAAAAAUCCUAAGUGUCUACCUACUUUAACUUAAUUAACUUUUGUGAGAUUUCUUAUUUUUGUACACCGAAGUCUGAAGAAUUGUAAUUUUCUCAACUUGUGUUAUGUAUUUUUCUAGAAAAAAUCUAAAUGUUAGCUUCAGAGGGAGCUUGUGAGGAUAAUUUAAUCUAGAAGCUGUUAUUAACGGGGAGUGUUGCAGGUUUAGGUUGGCGGUAUGUAUCGCACCUGGAUGCAAUCCUUCUUACUGCUCUCGAGCACUCUGUCUGUCAUGGCGUUAGCCGCUUGUUUUGUGCGUUUUUUGGCUCCAGAAUUAAAUUCAAUUUUAUUCUAUGUACACUUGUUAAGUAUUCAUUUAUUCACUUGCUCGUUACUCCCAUAGUUUUUAAUUGAUCAGGUAAAUAAGAUCCUGUAGAGAAUCACUCAUUUACCAUCAUAGUAAGAUGCCUUCUUAUUUUGUGUUCAAUAAGCCUUCUUAAAUUUGUUAAAAAUACCAUGAUAACUGAUACUUAAUGAGCCUCCGAUGUUUUAUGCUUGAGGGCAAGGCGCAUAACGGCGGUGUAAGUCCGCAAUCACAUAUCUCGUUUGCGGUGUCUGAAAAUCUCCGCCUCUAUGCUAUUUUUUUAAAGGAGAACAAAUUGACAUCCUUCCUUGAAGUUUUUGCAGAAUUUUCCUCGCACAGAGGAGAAAAAUCACGGCAGUUUCGAAGAAUUGCCGUUGAGUAGUUUUCCGUUUAAAAAUAAAGUAUGGCAGGAAGUCUGCGACGUCGCAAAUCGAAUGUGUGAUUGCCGACUUACACCUUCGAUAAGUGCAGUUUUUGCUAUUUCAAGAAAUUCGCGUUUAAUGUUCAAAAUAACAUUGAGCCUCAUGGCAAAAAGGAAGUUUAAACUCACUUUCUAAUGCCUGAAAGUUGGAUUAAUUUAGUUGUGAACUUUUCACGGAAUAUACAUUCAAACUGGUUUUAGUUGAGUUCAUGAAUACCUAUGUAAAUUUUUUUCAAAAACUGCACUUAAGUAUAUGCCUCGUCCUCCAAGCCCCUCAAUUGUUCUCUUUAUGGCACACUUUUAGACGUGACAGAAGUUAAAUUUGCUUCGGCAUUCUUCAAUGUAAGUUUAGUCUCUAGGUGCAACAUUGUCAUUGGAAUUUUUAGCCAUAGCUGAAAAAAAUGAUAAUUCAUUUGAAUCGCAAUAUGGUUAAGAGCACUACUUCAUUGUCUCAUUGAUUAAGAUGUUUGCGAUUGGAUGCUGUGAUUUUCCCUCAUUAAAUUGAAACUAGAUAAUUUUCCAUGAGUCAUAGACUACAUUUUUAGAACGUUGCAAUAUAUCUUCAGCUAUGUCAGAUUUGUAUUUUUAUAACAUUCUUAUGUAAUCAAAUUUUUCUGCUUUAAUGUGAUAUUUUAUUUUGAGAUCUUUUUCCCCAUUGAAAGGGACUAUAACCCUCAUUAUCCUCGUUUGAGAUGUUAGAAUGUUUUUCUUUUUUGAUGCAUACUACCAUAGCCUUCAGGCUUUCAAAAUUAUAUUUCUCCCUCUGCAAAUUGUUUUCUUUUUUUCCUCUUUACCACUGCCCUCACCUCCGUAGUCCGUACCAAGCAAGGAUAUAUGGAAAAGAUUUUACUCGACAGAAAUUUGGGACCAAGAAAGGAAAGCACACAUUGCCAAAUGCAGAGAAGAAAUACUCUGCAUGAGCAAUCUUACCUUUUUCAAAUUAGCAUUUUUCACUUUCAGCAUCAAUCAUGUAGAUUUUCAAAGACUUAAUUAACUUGGCUGGAGACUUAAUGCCUUAUAAAAUUUAAUUAGUUUUAAAAAUUGCUCCGUUGAAAUUAUUCUUAGUCUGCAUUAAAAAGGGUGCAACUUUUGAUUAGCUUUCUGCAUGAGCAAUCUUACCUUUUUCAAAUUAGCAUUUUUCACUUUCAGCAUCAAUCAUGUAGAUUUUCAAAGACUUAAUUAACUUGGCUGGAGACUUAAUGCCUUA
rnacentral:lncRNA from 1 species